GACGAACGCUGGCGGCGUGCUUAACACAUGCAAGUCGAGCGGUAAGGCCCUUUCGGGGGUACGACGAGCGGCGAACGGGUGAGUAACACGUGGGUGACCUGCCCUCAGCUCUGGGAUAAGCCUGGGAAACCGGGUCUAAUACUGGAUAUGACUCCAUGACGCAUGUUGUGGGGUGGAAAGCCUUGUGCGGCUGAGGAUGGGCCCGCGGCCUAUCAGCUUGUUGGUGGGGGUGANGGCCUACCAAGGCGACGACGGGUAGCCGGCCUGAGAGGGCGACCGGCCACACUGGGACGUGAGACACGGCCCACGACUCCUACGGGAGGCAGCAGUGGGGAAGUCUUGCGCAAUGGGCGAAAGCCUGACGCAGCGACGCCGCGUGAGGGAUGACGGCCU
rnacentral:rRNA from 1 species